GUUGAAAUUCAUGCUGCAGGUUGUUUUACAUUGUUUACAUUUCUCAAGUUUGCUAAGUGAAUAUGUAAUUUGCUAAAUACAUUGUUUACCUUUCCCAUGUUUGAAGUGAUAUGAUAGGGAAGAACAGAGGCGUUUGUCAUAGUUGUAGGAAGGUUAGGCAUUUCUUGUCGGAUUGUACAACAAAGAAACACUACCCAAAAUGCGGCGAAGGCAUCAAGAAAUGUAUGGAGGUGCAGAGAAAUACUUCAAACAUAAGUCGAUUGUUCUUUUGUUGUACUUUAGAUUGUGGUCAUUUCAAGUGGCAAGAUGAAGAAGCAUCCGGUAGGGAAAAGGCUAUAGAUACGAUUUAAGAUUUGUCCAGUACGUCGAAGAUGUGUGCUCAAAUAUUAGAAAAAGAGAGGUGGAGAUAUCCUUCAACGCCACUAUCCGUUUGGGAAAAAGAGUUACGGAGGACAACGGGAAAGGAAAGGAAAUCGUGCCCCAAAUUAUUUCAAACAAUGAGAACGUGUCAAAUCCUUUAUUGUAAUUGUCGAAAUCCAUGUUUAUAUAAUAUUCAUUAAACUUGACGUAUUUUAUAUCUUUCAAAGGUCACGUAAUUAAUGUAAUUUAUGCAUCUUAUGUAGCAUUUUGUUAGUAUGUUGUAAAAACUUGUGCGGUCUAAUGAUUUAAGUCUUGAUAUCCUUUGAAUUAGAUAGA
rnacentral:lncRNA from 1 species